UACAGAGGGUGCAAGCGUUAAUCGGAAUUACUGGGCGUAAAGCGCGCGUAGGUGGUUUGUUAAGUUGGAUGUGAAAUCCCCGGGCUCAACCUGGGAGCUGCAUCCAAAACUGGCAAGCUAGAGUAUGGUAGAGGGUGGUGGAAUUUCCUGUGUAGCGGUGAAAUGCGUAGAUAUAGGAAGGAACACCAGUGGCGAAGGCGACCACCUGGACUGAUACUGACACUGAGGUGCGAAAGCGUGGGGAGCAAACAGG
rnacentral:rRNA from 1 species